CCUCGCUAAUACUGAUCCUGCUGCUGAUCCAAAUGCCCGACUCCCAUAACCCAACCUAGAUCUUAUUAGGGAAAUAUAUAUUUUAAUAAAUUAAAAUCUGCUCCCCGCUCCAGUCCUGAUCGGUCCAACAGCGCCAGUGAGGAAGAGCAGGGAUGAAGAUCCACAGCAAACCGUUAAAGAAACAAAAACACCACACAGUAGAAGACCACCAUCAUCCCUUCAUCAGCACCAGAAUAACUGCUCGUUCACACAUUCAUCAUUAGCUUGUGAAGAAAGAGGGAAUCUGUGCUGUACUGAGUCUUCAGAACCGGAAGAGAUGCUCUUCAGACAUCGUCAUCUUUCUGACAUUUAAUAUUAGACGUCGCUGUUUUAGAAGAGCAAUAUUUGUGAUGGUCUGUCAAAUGAUCUCGUAUAACCCCAGUGACCUGUCAGUUAAUCGCACCAGUGUGUCAUUAGCAGAACAUUAGCAUGUACAGUAGAUGUAAUAGAUUAGAAGCAGCUGUUAUAAGCUCAUAUGAUUGUUGUUUUGUUCUACAGGCGGUGUGUGUGUGUGUGUGUGUGUGUGUGUGCGCUACGAGACCAGUUUUAAGGCCGUUAAACACACUGACCUGACGCUCACGCACUUGAGGAACAGGGUUCGGAGGGGUUUUGCAGACAGAAGCUCUCUGAAACACAUGCACGGCGUUCUCGCAGGUUUUUUGCGCUGAAUAACUCGAGUAAGACACAGUUUGCAGCUCUCUUUUGUCUGACACCCAUUUCAGGCCUUGGACUCUCUGCUAGUGAGCUGAUGAUCUGAACCAGGUGUGUUUGAUUAGGGAGACAUGGAAAUCAAAGCCCUGCGCUUGGGGACGCUGCAAACACACGGGAACAAAGCUUUCUCACAGUAACCGCGGAUCCCGGCCUGCUCUCAUCGCUUGUCCCUGAAUCGUGUCGCUGCUCGCUUGUGUAACGCUGAAAUAUGCUGAACUCUGUUUCUGUCGCUCGUAUUUGCUGGAAAUUGUCAGCAGCUUUGAUUGAAAAUGGAUGAUGUCUGUUGAUUUGUAACUGCUGGACGCUGUAGGAAAGAACGGUCCUGCGUGCGUCGAGCGUUGCUCUUCGUUGACGUUAAAGCAGGGCCUCUCAGCUCUGGCCCUAAUCAAACACACCUGAACAAGCUAACCCGGGUGUUCAGGGUCACUAGAACACUACAGCAGCUGGGUCUGACGUGAUCCGGAGGCCCAGAGCUGAGGAGUCCUGUGUUAAAGACGUCAGCUGCUGCUCAUCAUGUGUCUGGUGUUGUGACGGCUGAUCUGCUCUGUUACUGUAGUAGAUGAAUCAUAUUACUCCUCAAGUUUCUCUUUUUUAUGGCAUGUGCUCUUACUGUAGUGAAUGUAUGUCUGUGCGUGUAGAU
ensembl:lncRNA